rnacentral:tRNA from 1 species
UGUUUUGUGGCUUAGUUGGUUAAAACGCUGGUUUAGCGAAACAGAGUCGUGGCUUCAACUCCCACCAGAAUGC